GCAUUAGCUGGUGAACACAAAGGCAGAGAACUAUUAGAUAUCAUACAGGUUUUACUUUAUUUCAUGGCAUAAGGUAUGUUUUUCUCUUAUGUUGUUUCUCUCGAUUUAUAAAUUUAGGCCUAAGAUCAUACCAUUUCUUACAAUGGGUACGAGCUACAUUGGUGUUUUAAACGGUUGAAGGCAAUCUGUCAAACUAAGUAGCUUCAGCCAACCAAAUACAUGAACGGGACAAUGAAAGAGCACAAAGGAAACCAGCAAAUUCGAAAUCAAUUCAAGCUCAAUUUCUCAAAUAAGUGUCUAUCUUUUAAGAAUUAAUUACAGACAAGUUGGUUUCAUUUGAUUGUUGGCCUUUUCCUACUAUGUUAAGGCGUUCUUUAACCUGCAUUUUUUGAGUUCUACUUUGGCAUUUCUACUUUCUUUAGACAGGAUUACUUUACAGCUACAAAACAAGAAUCAUGCUUAGUCCCAAACAAGUUAUGAUCAACUACAUGAAUCCUCAUUGACCAUGUAUCCAAUUUAAAUUCUACCUCAGUCAACAAUAUACAACAUAAAAAUAAAAACAAAAAUUAAGAGUAGCACAAGUUUUCUAUAUUUCCUACUGGCAUAAGAAUCUCUAAUAAGGCUAAAUCACUCCCAGAAAGCAUAAGACCUAAAUUAGAUGUAUUAACAUGGCUAAAAUAUAUUCCCAACUAAUCGGUGUCACUUACAAGUUUUUUUCUUUUAUUAUGCCAUAUUUUUCAGUAAAUCAACAUUGAUUCCAUGAGAUUGUAGGUGUUUCGGGACAACUUCUUUUCAUGUGAUUUUAAGUCUACCUUGGCCCCUUUUAACAUCUUUAUUCAGCAUGGUUUCACACCUAUUGAACAACCCAUUUGGAGGUCAACGCAAGACAUGAUCAAACUAUGUCAAGUGACCUUUUCUCAUUUUAUCAUUGAUAUAUGCUACUUGCACCUUCUGGUGAAUGUGGCCAUCUUUAAUCUUGUAUGACCACGUCAAUCUUAACUUUCGUAUCUCCGCGAUACUUAUCUUGGAUGUAUUUAACUUUAGCAACCUAAUAUUCACUCCCAUAUAACAGUGCCGGUCUUGUAAGUAUUCUAAUAUAAUUUACCUUUCACUUUGGUAAACCUUUGAUAAAACUUC
rnacentral:lncRNA from 1 species